rnacentral:rRNA from 1 species
GACGAACGCUGGCGGCGUGCUUAACACAUGCAAGUCGAGCGGUAAGGCCCUUUCGGGGGUACGACGAGCGGCGAACGGGUGAGUAACACGUGGGUGACCUGCCCUCAGCUCUGGGAUAAGCCUGGGAAACCGGGUACUAAUACCGGAUAUGACUCCAUGACGCAUGUUGUGGGGUGGAAAGCCUUGUGCGGCUGAGGAUGGGCCCGCGGCCUAUCAGCUUGUUGGUGGGGU